UCCCUGGUGGCUCAGAUGGUAAAGAAUCUGCUUGGAAUGCAGAAGACUUGGGUUCAAUCCCUGGGUUGGGAA
rfam:Ovis aries breed Texel chromosome 6, whole genome shotgun sequence.